rnacentral:rRNA from 1 species
GACGAACGCUGGCGGCGUGCUUAACACAUGCAAGUCGAACGGAAGGGCCCUGCUUUUGUGGGGUGCUCGAGUGGCGAACGGGUAAGUAACACGUAAGUAAACUGCCCUUGACUUUGGGAUAACUUCAGGAAACUGGGGCUAAUACCGGAUAGGAGCUCCUGCUGAAUGGUGGGGGUUGGAAAGUUUCGGCGGUUGGGGAUGGACGCGCGGCUUAUCAGCUUGUUGGUGGGGUAGUGGCUUACCAAGGCUUUGACGGGUAGCCGGCCUGAGAGGGUGACCGGCCACAUUGGGACUGAGAUACGGCCCAGACUCCUACGGGAGGCAGCAGUGGGGAAUAUUGCACGAUGGGCGGAGGCCUGAUGCAGCAACGCCGCGUGCGGGAUGACGGCCUUCGGGUUGUAAACCGCUUGCGCCUGUGACGAAGCGUGAGUGACGGUAAUGUGUAAAGAAGCACCGGCUAACUACGUG